CGCUGGCGGCGUGCCUAAUACAUGCAAGUCGAACGGUCUUUCUAUGGAAGCUUGCUUCACUGAGAAGAUAGUGGCGAACGGGUGAGUAACACGUGGGUAACCUGCCCAUAAGAGGGGGGAUAACAUCCGGAAACGGGUGCUAAUACCGCAUAGUUCUCUUGAUCGCAUGAUUGAGAAAGGAAAGACGGCCUUUGUGCUGUCGCUUAUGGAUGGACCCGCGGCGUAUUAGUUAGUUGGUGAGGUAACGGCUCACCAAGACGAUGAUACGUAGCCGACCUGAGAGGGUGAUCGGCCACAUUGGGACUGAGACACGGCCCAAACUCCUACGGGAGGCAGCAGUAGGGAAUCUUCCGCAAUGGACGAAAGUCUGACGGAGCAACGCCGCGUGAGUGAAAGAAGGUUUUCGGAUCGUAAAACUCUGUUGUCAGAGAAGAACAAGUUGGAGAGUAACUGCUCCAGCCUUGACGGUAUCUGACCAGAAAGCCACGGCUAACUACGUGCCAGCCGCCGC
rnacentral:rRNA from 1 species